rnacentral:rRNA from 1 species
GACGAACGCUGGCGGCGUGCCUAAUACAUGCAAGUCGAACGAGAGCGACCGGUGCUUGCACUGGUCAAUCUAGUGGCGAACGGGUGAGUAACACGUGGGUAACCUGCCCAUCAGAGGGGGAUAACAUCCGGAAACGGAUGCUAAAACCGCAUAGGUCUUCGAACCGCAUGGUUUGAAGAGGAAAAGAGGCGCAAGCUUCUGCUGAUGGAUGGACCCGCGGUGCAUUAGCUAGUUGGUGAGGUAACGGCUCACCAAGGCCGUGAUGCAUAGCCGACCUGAGAGGGUGAUCGGCCACAUUGGGACUGAGACACGGCCCAAACUCCUACGGGAGGCAGCAGUAGGGAAUCUUCCGCAAUGGACGCAAGUCUGACGGAGCAACGCCGCGUGAGUGAAGAAGGUGUUCGGAUCGUAAAACUCUGUUGUUAGAGAAAAACAAGUGCUAGAGUAACUGUUAGCGCCUUGACGGUAUCUAACCAGAAAGCCACGGCUAACUACGUG